rnacentral:rRNA from 1 species
GCUUGUCUCAAAGAUUAAGCCAUGCAUGUCUAAGUGUAAAUACGUCUACACUGUGAAACUGCGAAUGGCUCAUUAAAUCAGUUAUCGUUUAUUUGAUGAUCUCUUGUUACAUGGAUAACCGUAGUAAUUCUAGAGCUAAUACAUGCGUCAAGCCCCGACUCACGAAGGGGUGUAUUUAUUAGAUUCAAAGCCAACCGUGUAAAAGCGUACCUUGGUGAUUCAUAAUAACUAGUCGAAUCGCAUGGCUUUUUGCCGGCGAUGGUUCAUUCGAAUUUCUGCCCUAUCAGCUUUCGACGGUAGUGUAGUGGACUACCGUGGCAUUAACGGGUGACGGAGAAUUAGGGUUCGAUUCCGGAGAGGGAGCCUGAGAAACGGCUACCACAUCCAAGGAAGGCAGCAGG